rnacentral:rRNA from 1 species
UACGAAGGGGGCUAGCGUUGCUCGGAAUCACUGGGCGUAAAGCGCACGUAGGCGGAUUGCUAAGUCAGGGGUGAAAUCCUGGAGCUCAACUCCAGAACUGCCUUUGAUACUGGUGAUCUUGAGUCCGGGAGAGGUGAGUGGAACUGCGAGUGUAGAGGUGAAAUUCGUAGAUAUUCGCAAGAACACCAGUGGCGAAGGCGGCUCACUGGCCCGGUACUGACGCUGAGGUGCGAAAGCGUG